UCUUAUGCCUAGGAAACCUAACUUGCUUAUUUUGAGAUUUUCCAGGGGCCAAACUGCACCUUUUCAUGUUAUCUUACUGUGGACUUCUCAACUCACUUCAUACUGGAUUUGGCAAAAGCUCUCUCAGUUCUGCUGCUGUCUUCAAAUUGGAAUGCUAUGACAAGACACCUCGUUGCUUUUUCUGCUUUGUCCUGCAGAAAGGCUGCUGUCAUGUGACUCUUGUGGUUGUUGAUGGUUAUUGGUUUGUCUUUUCAUCCACAGCAGAGCUCAAAAUGAGCACAGCUGCCCCACAGAGUGAGUGCUAUAAGCAAUGUAGCAGUUCAUCUGCUUCAAGAUCUUCUUCCCACUACCAGGUGUGUUACUCAACAUGAGGCCAAAAGUGUGGGCUAUUUUCACUGUGAAAAGACAGCAGUGAAAUCUGAAAUAUUAGCAUGUGGUGUGAAUAUAAGUCAUUCCUCACUAUGGUUGCAUCCAGGUCUCCUCUGCAUGAUGUGCCUUUUUCAGGCUCAGAAGAAAUGGGUCAUUUUUUUUUCUUCCUUUAAAUCCCUUUUGUGGAUUAAAUUUUUCAAAUGCAAAAUCUGUUUAAGGCCAAAGUAAAUCUACUAACUUCUGUUGCUUAGCAUUCCAAAACAUGGCCCAUGGCAUGGAUAAUAAAGAGUAAUUAGAAUAUGUAUUAAUAAAACAGAGCAGUGAAAAUUGGAGUUAUUUCAAUUUACAAAAUUGCUACUUUCAAAUAUUUAUCCUGAAUUUGCCAUGAUGUUCAAAAGAAUGGGAUAUUGCAGUACCAGGCUAUAUCUAUGAACCCUAAUUUUGCAUUUUUACAAUCUACUUGCUACCAACUUAUAAUAUGAUUGUGUGCUUCUAACAAAUAAUAUUGAUAAAAUUGUGACACGAAAGCUUUUCCUACAUGAAGAUUAUAUGUCUGAGCAAAUAAUAAAAAAUUGAAUCAAUCAUUUCAGGUGUCAAAAUAUUUUUCAGUUUCAAUAUUUUGAAACAUUCCUCAUUUUUUAGAUGUUGUUGGACACUUUAUAUUUG
rnacentral:lncRNA from 10 species